GUCGAGCGAGCUUGCCUAGAUGAUUUUAGUGCGUGCACUAAAUGAAACUAGAUACAAGCGAGCGGCGGACGGGUGAGUAACACGUGGGUAACCUGCCCAAGAGACCGGGAUAACACCUGGAAACAGAUGCUAAUACCGGAUAACAACACUAGACGCAUGUCUAGAGUUUGAAAGAUGGUUCUGCUAUCACUCUUGGAUGGACCUGCGGUGCAUUAGCUAGUUGGUAAGGUAACGGCUUACCAAGGCAAUGAUGCAUAGCCGAGUUGAGAGACUGAUCGGCCACAUUGGGACUGAGACACGGCCCAAACUCCUACGGGAGGCAGCAGUAGGGAAUCUUCCACAAUGGACGAAAGUCUGAUGGAGCAACGCCGCGUGAGUGAAGAAGGGUUUCGGCUCGUAAAGCUCUGUUGGUAGUGAAGAAAGAUAGAGGUAGUAACUGGCCUUUAUUUGACGGUAAUUACUUAGAAAGUCACGGCUAACUACGUGCCAGCAGCCGCGGUAAUACGUAGGUGGCAAGCGUUGUCCGGAUUUAUUGGGCGUAAAGCGAGUGCAGGCGGUUCAAUAAGUCUGAUGUGAAAGCCUUCGGCUCAACCGGAGAAUUGCAUCAGAAACUGUUGAACUUGAGUGCAGAAGAGGAGAGUGGAACUCCAUGUGUAGCGGUGGAAUGCGUAGAUAUAUGGAAGAACACCAGUGGCGAAGGCGGCUCUCUGGUCUGCAACUGACGCUGAGGCUCGAAAGCAUGGGUAGCGAACAGGAUUAGAUACCCUGGUAGUCCAUGCCGUAAACGAUGAGUGCUAAGUGUUGGGAGGUUUC
rnacentral:rRNA from 1 species